AAGCCAGUGGGAAUGGGCACCUGGCCAUAAGUCAGAGAAGGGGAAGGAGAGUUACUUUAUUCUCUUCUGGUGCCAGUAAGAACUUUAUCAAGGUACUAGUGCCAUCAGCUCCUGCCCAAGGGCACCCAGGGCCCCAGGUCAGCAUGACGGAUUUAAGACACAUUACGUUCUGGGAAGACGGCUAGGAAGGGAGAUUGGAGACAGACAUGGGGAGAAGGCCAUGUGAAGACGGAGGCAGGAACUCCUGUGAUGCGGCCACAAGCCACAGAGGGCCUGGAGCCACCAGGAGCUGGAAGAGGCAGGAGGGAUCCUCCCCUAGCACCUGUGAAGGGAACAGGGUCCUGCCCACACCUUUAUUUUUGACUUUUGGCCUCCAGAAUUGUAACGAAUACAUUUCUGUUGUUUGAAGCCAUGCAGUGUGUAUAAAUUUGCUACUGCGGUCAGGCCGGGCGCGGUGGCUCACGCCUGUAAUCCCAGCACUUUGGGAGGCCGAGGCGGGAAGAUCACGAGGUCAGGAGAUCGAGACCAUCCUGGCUAACAUGGUGAAACCGCAUCUCUACCAAAAAUAAAAAAAAUUAAAAAAUAAAAUUUUUACUGCAGUCACAAAGAACUAGUACACUGCCCUUCUUGGUGGUGGGUCCCGGGCUCUCCGAGGUCCCCCAGGGUCA
rnacentral:lncRNA from 1 species